CCCCGUGCAUGAGUGGCGGACGGGUGAGUAACGCGUGGGCAACCUGCCCUGUACAGGGGGACAACACUUAGAAAUAGGUGCUAAUACCGCAUAACGGGGGGAGCCGCAUGGCACCCCCCUGAAAACUCCGGUGGUACAGGAUGGGCCCGCGUCUGAUUAGCUGGUUGGCAGGGUAACGGCCUACCAAGGCGACGAUGCGUAGGGGUUCUGAGAGGAAGGUCCCCCACACUGGUACUGAGACACGGACCAGACUCCUACGGAAGGCAGCAG
rnacentral:rRNA from 1 species